CCUACGGGAGGCAGCAGUGGGGAAUUUUGGACAAUGGGCGCAAGCCUGAUCCAGCAAUGCCGCGUGAGUGAAGAAGGCCUUCGGGUUGUAAAGCUCUUUUGUCAGGGAAGAAACGGUGGGAGCUAAUAUCUCUUGCUAAUGACGGUACCUGAAGAAUAAGCACCGGCUAACUACGUGCCAGCAGCCGCGGUAAUACGUAGGGUGCAAGCGUUAAUCGGAAUUACUGGGCGUAAAGCGUGCGCAGGCGGUUUUGUAAGUUUGUCGUGAAAUCCCCGGGCUCAACCUGGGAAUGGCGAUGAAGACUGCAAGGCUAGAAUCUGGCAGAGGGGGGUAGAAUUCCACGUGUAGCAGUGAAAUGCGUAGAGAUGUGGAGGAACACCGAUGGCGAAGGCAGCCCCCUGGGUCAAGAUUGACGCUCAUGCACGAAAGCGUGGGGAGCAAACAGGAUUAGAUACCCUGGUAGUCCACGCCCUAAACGAUGUCUACUAGUUGUCGGGUUUUAAUUAACUUGGUAACGCAGCUAACGCGUGAAGUAGACCGCCUGGGGAGUCGGUCGCAAGNUUAAAACUUCAAAGGAAUUGACGGCUUGGNGNGNGCGACGCGACGACGAGGAGGAGG
rnacentral:rRNA from 1 species